GACGAACCGAGCGAACGUUGUUCGGAAUCACUGGGCUUAAAGGGCGCGUAGGCGGGUGCUCAAGUCCGGGGUGAAAUCCUCCAGCUCAACUGGAGAACUGCCUCGGAUACUGGGUGCCUCGAGGGUGGUAGGGGUAUGCGGAACUAUCGGCGGAGCGGUGAAAUGCGUUGAUAUCGAUAGGAACUCCGGUGGCGAAGGCGGCAUACUGGACCACAUCUGACGCUGAGGCGCGAAAGCCAGGGGAGCAAACGGG
rnacentral:rRNA from 1 species